rnacentral:rRNA from 1 species
GACGAACGCUGGCGGCACGCUUAACACAUGCAAGUCGAACGAGGUCCAUGGAGCUUGCUCCGGAAGACCUAGUGGCGAACGGGUGCGUAACACGUGAGAAACCUGCCCUGGACUUGGGAAUAACAGUCGGAAACGACUGCUAAUACCGAAUAUCUUCACGACGUCGCAUGGCGAUGUGAAGAAAGCUUUAUGCGGUUCAGGAGGGUCUCGCGGCCUAUCAGCUUGUUGGUGAGGUAACGGCUCACCAAGGCAUCGACGGGUAGCUGGUCUGAGAGGAUGAUCAGCCACACUGGGACUGAGACACGGCCCAGACUCCUACGGGAGGCAGCAGUGGGGAAUAUUGCACAAUGGGCGCAAGCCUGAUGCAGCGAUGCCGCGUGCGGGAAGAAGGCCCUAGGGUUGUAAACCGCUUUCAGCAGGGAAGAAAAUGACGGUACCUGCAGAAGAAGGUGCGGCCAACUACGUG